rnacentral:rRNA from 1 species
AGAGUUUGAUCAUGGCUCAGGACGAACGCUGGCGGCGCGCCUAACACAUGCAAGUCGAACGGAGUUUCCCCUUCGGGGGAGGCUUAGUGGCGGACGGGUGAGUAACACGUGAGGAACCUGCCUUUGAGAGCGGGAUACCGUCUGGAAACGGACGUUAAUACCGCAUAACGCAGCGAGGCCACAUGGUCAUGCUGCCAAAGAUUUAUCGCUCAAAGAUGGCCUCGCGCCUGAUUAGAUAGUUGGCGGGGUAACGGCCCACCAAGUCAGCGAUCAGUAGCCGGACUGAGAGGUCGAACGGCCACAUUGGGACUGAGAUACGGCCCAGACUCCUACGGGAGGCAGCAGUGGGGGAUAUUGCACAAUGGGCGAAAGCCUGAUGCAGCGACGCCGCGUGAGGGAAGACGGUUUUCGGAUUGUAAACCUCUGUCUUCGGGGACGAAACAAGACGGUACCCGAGGAGGAAGCCACGGCUAACUACGUGCCAGCAGCCGCGGUAAUACGUAGGUGGCGAGCGUUGUCCGGAAUUACUGGGUGUAAAGGGAGUGUAGGCGGGGCUUCAAGUCCGUUGUGAAAUCGAUCGGCUCAACUGAUCGCUGCGGCGGAAACUGAAGCUCUUGAGUGAGGUAGAGGCAGGCGGAAUUCCCAGUGUAGCGGUGAAAUGCGUAGAUAUUGGGAGGAACACCAGUGGCGAAGGCGGCCUGCUGGGCCUUAACUGACGCUGAGGCUCGAAAGUGUGGGGAGCAAACAGGAUUAGAUACCCUGGUAGUCCACACUGUAAACGAUGAUUACUAGGUGUGGGGGGACUGACCCCUUCCGUGCCGGAGUGAACACAAUAAGUAAUCCACCUGGGGAGUACGACCGCAAGGUUGAAACUCAAAUGAAUUGACGG